GAUGAAGAACGUAGCGAAAUGCGUUAAGUAAUGUGAAUUGCAGAAUUCAGUGAAUCAUCGAAUCUUUGAACGCACAUUGCGCCCCCUGGUAUUCCGGGGGGCAUGCCUGUUCGAGCGUCAUUUCACCACUCAAGCCUCGCUUGGUAUUGGGCAACGCGGUCCGCCGCGUGCCUCAAAUCGACCGGCUGGGUCUUCUGUCCCCUAAGCGUUGUGGAAACUAUUCGCUAAAGGGUGUUCGGGAGGCUACGCCGUAAAACAACCCCAUUUCUAAGGUUGACCUCGGAUCAGGUAGGGAUACCCGCUGAACUUAAGCAUAUCAAUAAGCGGAGGA
rnacentral:misc_RNA from 1 species